rnacentral:rRNA from 1 species
UAAGUAGGGUGCAAGCGUUGUCCGGAAUUAUUGGGCGUAAAGAGCUCGUAGGCGGUUUGUCGCGUCUGCUGUGAAAACUCGGGGCUUAACUCCGGGCCUGCAGUGGGUACGGGCAGACUAGAGUGCGGUAGGGGAGACUGGAAUUCCUGGUGUAGCGGUGAAAUGCGCAGAUAUCAGGAGGAACACCGAUGGCGAAGGCAGCUCACUGGGACGGUACUGACGCUGAGGCGCGAAAGCGUGGGGAGCAAACAGG